rnacentral:rRNA from 1 species
UACCCGCAGCACAAGUGGUGGUCAUUAUUAUUGGGCCUAAAGCGUCCGUAGCUGGCUUGUUAGAUGCCUGGGUAAAUCGAUGCGCUCAACGCAUCGAAUUCCGGGUAGACCGGCAAGCUCGAGACCGGGAGAGGCGUGAGCUACUCGGGGGGUAGGGGUAAAAUCCUGUAAUCCUCCGGGGAGGACCAGUGGCGAAGGCGUCACGCUAGAACGGCUCCGACAGUGAGGGACGAAGCCCUGGGGCGCAAACCGG